CUUUUUCUGACCCCCAAGCAUUAAAGGCUGACAAAGGGAUUCUGUCAAACAGACUAAGAAAGGGUAGAGGUGCUGGACUCUCUCACCUUUUUCUUUUUGGUCAAACUUCCAAACACACAAGGUAACAAAGAUCAGCAUGCUAACUACAUAAGAAAGUAUGACCAGGGGUCGGAUCCAUCGCCUCCAGUUAUUCAGAUUACACACGCUGGGCAUUUUCAUAAACAAAUUAGCUUACGAAAGCCAAGAAAACAAACCAAACCGAGAUUUUGGCACUGUCUCUUCUUUGAUUGUUUUCUCUUCUGGCUCUCUACAGAGAAAAAUGACCAGCUGCUGGCGCUGCGUCCUCGGGUCGCGCUGUGGUUGAGGCUCCUCGCAGGUAUGGGCUGCAUCCUAGUCGGACAACUGGCAUGCACCCGGUGCCGCCGUGGUGGGUCGGCGCCUCGCCUGGGGGUCGCCUAGAAUCUCAGCUGCACCAUGACAGCCAGGGGACCUGGGGACCUGGGCGCUCGGUCUGCCCUGCAGCUGGAAGCCGGCUGGUUCACCGCUCCUGCUCUGGCAGACAUGUCUGCUCCUGGCAGAACCAAUCUACUUCAGAGAAAAUGAUGGGCAUUGAAGAAAAUUCAUAUGGAGUUUGCUUUCUUUGGGACACAAGUUAGCCACUGGGCAAGAAAGCGCCCUCACAUCAACUGCUGACAGGAUGUUGUCCAAAAUGGAUGAACAGGACACAAAAGAAAGGACUGCCUAUCCUUGCCAAGACAAAGUAGAAAAGAUCCUGUGGUACAAUCCUAUUAUAUGUUGACCAAGAGUUUAACAUUUGCUUUACAUAUGGGGAAUGCAUGCCAUAAGAUACUAUUGCCUCCUUAAACCUUCGUAAAUCUAACAUUUCGAUUGGAGCCCAAA